rnacentral:rRNA from 1 species
ACGUAGGUGGCAAGCGUUAUCCGGAAUUAUUGGGCGUAAAGCGCGCGCAGGCGGUUUCUUAAGUCUGAUGUGAAAGCCCACGGCUCAACCGUGGAGGGUCAUUGGAAACUGGGGAACUUGAGUGCAGAAGAGAAAAGCGGAAUUCCACGUGUAGCGGUGAAAUGCGUAGAGAUCCGGAAGAACACCGGUGGCGAAGGCGGCCUGCUGGGCAGUGGCUGACACUGAGGCGCGACAGCGCGGGGAGCAAACAGGA